rnacentral:rRNA from 1 species
AGAGUUUGAUCCUGGCUCAGGAUGAACGCUAGCGAUAGGCUUAACACAUGCAAGUCGAGGGGCAGCAUGGUCUUAGCUUGCUAAGACUGAUGGCGACCGGCGCACGGGUGCGUAACGCGUAUGCAACUUGCCUCACAGAGGGGGAUAACCCGUCGAAAGACGGACUAAUACCGCGUACACUUGGGUUGGGGCAUCCCGAUCCAAGGAAAAGAAAUUCGCUGUGAGAUAGGCAUGCGUCCCAUUAGCUAGUUGGUGAGGUAACGGCUCACCAAGGCAACGAUGGGUAGGGGAACUGAGAGGUUGAACCCCCACACUGGUACUGAGACACGGACCAGACUCCUACGGGAGGCAGCAGUGAGGAAUAUUGGUCAAUGGGCGAGAGCCUGAACCAGCCAAGUCGCGUGAAGGAUGACUGUCUUAUGGAUUGUAAACUUCUUUUGUAGGGGAAUAAAGAGGGGCACGUGUGCCUCAGUGAAUGUACCCUACGAAUAAGCAUCGGCUAACUCCGUGCCAGCAGCCGCGGUAAUACGGAGGAUGCGAGCGUUAUCCGGAUUUAUUGGGUUUAAAGGGUGCGUAGGCGGCCUGUUAAGUCAGCGGUGAAAUCUAGGAGCUUAACUCCUAAAUUGCCAUUGAUACUGGCGGGCUUGAGUGUAGAUGAGGUAGGCGGAAUGCGUGGUGUAGCGGUGGAAUGCAUAGAUAUCACGCAGAACUCCGAUUGCGAAGGCAGCUUACUAAGGUACAACUGACGCUGAAGCACGAAAGCGUGGGUAUCAAACAGGAUUAGAUACCCUGGUAGUCCACGCAGUAAACGAUGAUAACUGGGCGUAUGCGAUAUACAGUAUGCUCCUAAGCGAAAGCGUUAAGUUAUCCACCUGGGGAGUACGCCGGCAACGGUGAAACUCAAAGGAAUUGACGGGGGCCC